rnacentral:rRNA from 1 species
UACGAAGGGGGCUAGCGUUGCUCGGAAUCACUGGGCGUAAAGGGUGCGUAGGCGGGUCUUUAAGUCAGGGGUGAAAUCCUGGAGCUCAACUCCAGAACUGCCUUUGAUACUGAGGAUCUUGAGUUCGGGAGAGGUGAGUGGAACUGCGAGUGUAGAGGUGAAAUUCGUAGAUAUUGGGAAGAACACCGGUGGCGAAGGCGGUUCUCUGGACCGAUACUGACGCUGAGGCGCGAAAGCGUGGGGAGCAAACAGG